UGACGAAGACAUUGCUACUAUACCAAAAAGGAAUCCCCGAUUAUCUUCUCCAAAACUUUUCAACUAUCCCAAACUUCACAGUAGAUUGAACAAAUAAACAAUUUCCCUUAGAAGCUAAAUCUUCUAAAAUUAUACAAUUAAAUGUUUUUUUAUUUGAUCCUGCUGCUAGACGCUUUUUUAAAUUUUUUUUGUGGGUUUACAACUGUGAUACAUUCAAACUUCUCACUCGUUAUAAAGGUAGUGAGGAUCAGUAGGUC